rnacentral:lncRNA from 1 species
GCAAGUCACAAUCGUCUCAACUGCAAGUUGGCCAAAGUAAACAUUGCCCCAAAGGCUCCCAAAGCUUGCUGGCACAUAAACAUGAAUGAAUGAACAAUGUAGAAUUCACUCAAGAAAUUUCAAGGAGAGAGAGGAGGAGAUUUACAUCACACAGCAAACAACCUAAUAAAUCUGUUAAACGCCAUGCAUGUGAAUAGGCGUUUUCCUCUUUCUGACCCUUUCUUUCCACAUAGAACUCAGUGCUCCUUCCUCGUCCUCCAUUACAGUAUUUAUCGCCUUCCUUCUUCCAUGCUGGGGAGCAGUCGAGGCUUGUGUUCUUCAGCGGACUUGCCAAAUCAUCCCCUCCAGCAUACUGCUCUCUCCCUUCCACAGAUCAUCUGU